CCUACGGGAGGCAGCAGUGGGGAAUAUUGGGCAAUGGGCGCAAGCCUGACCCAGCCACGCCGCGUGAAGGAAGAAGGCUUUCGGGUUGUAAACUUCUUUUCUCAGGGACGAAGAAAGUGACGGUACCUGAGGAAUAAGCCACGGCUAACUACGUGCCAGCAGCCGCGGUAAUACGUAGGUGGCAAUCGUUCUCCGGAUUUACUGGGUGUAAAGGGGGAGUAGGCGGGACUGCAAGUCAGAUGUGAAAACCACGGGCUCAACCUGUGGCCUGCAUUUGAAACUGUAGUUCUUGUGUACUGGAGAGGCAGGCGGAAUGCCUGGUGUAGCGGUGAAAUGCGUAGAUAUUAGGAGGAACACCGGUGGCGAAGGCGGUCUGCUGGACAGCAACUGACGCUGAGGCGCGAAAGCGUGGGGAGCAAACAGGAUUAGAUACCCGUGUAGUC
rnacentral:rRNA from 1 species